UAGGAAAUCAGUCAGCCCCGAAGCAGUAGUUAAGCCGGAGGGCUCGGAAGAACGGCACCUUUUCUUUCUCGAAAAAGUUAUAUGGGGGCUGAAUGAGCUUCUGGAGGCUUGUUUACCGUCUUUUAUUGUCACACAGGAAAAGAAACUGCCUUGUCUCCCUUCCGGGAAUUCUCUAAGACUGUUCUUACGUCUGUUGCUAGAUUAUCGUCCAAAAGUGUUAAUGCCCAAGUGACUGACAUCAACUCCAAGGGACUGGAAUUGAGGAAGACUGUUACUACAGUUGAGACUCAGAACUUGGAAGGCCUGCAUCAUGAUGGCCAAUUCUGCCAUAAGCCCUGUCCUCCAGAUGUGAACAUGGAAUCGUCAAGGAAUGCACACUCACCAGCAACACCAAAUGCAAAGAGGAAGGAUCCAGAUCUAACUUGUGGUGGUUGUGUCUUCUUCUUCUUUUCCCAAUUCUACUAAUUGUUUGGGUGAAGAGAAAGGAAGUACAGAAAGCAUGCAGAAAGCACAGAAAGGAAAACCAAGGUCCUCAAGAAUCUCCAACCUUAAAUCCUGAAACAGUGGCAAUAAAUUUAUCUGAUGUUGACUUGAGUAAAUAUAUCACCACUGUUGCUGGAGUCAUGACACUAAGUCAAGUUAAAAGCUUUGUUCGAAAGAAUGGUGUCAAUGAAGCCAAA
rnacentral:sRNA from 1 species